AGCGUGGUAUCACCAUCGAUAUUGCUCUCUGGAAGUUCGAGACCACCAAGUACUACUGCACAGUCAUUGAUGCCCCUGGACAUCGUGAUUUCAUCAAGAACAUGAUUACUGGUACCUCCCAGGCUGAUUGUGCUGUUCUUAUCAUUGACUCCACCACUGGAGGUUUUGAAGCUGGUAUCUCUAAGGAUGGACAGACCCGUGAGCACGCUCUUCUUGCUUUCACCCUUGGUGUCAAGCAGAUGAUUUGUUGCUGUAACAAGGUGAACUAACCUUUUAUGUUAUUUAUUUUUAUGCUAUUGUGAUUUAUUGACUCUUUUGAUUUGAUGCUAACAUAUAUUAUACUGUUGUCUUUCUAACAGAUGGAUGCCACUACCCCCAAAUACUCCAAGGCCAGGUACGAUGAAAUUAUCAAGGAGGUGUCUUCAUACCUGAAGAAGGUUGGAUACAACCCUGACAAAAUCCCAUUUGUUCCCAUCUCUGGAUUCGAGGGAGACAACAUGAUUGAGAGGUCCACCAACCUUGACUGGUACAAGGGACCAACUCUCCUUGAGGCUCUUGACCAGAUCAACGAGCCCAAGAGGCCAUCAGACAAGCCCCUUCGUCUCCCACUUCAGGAUGUCUACAAGAUUGGUGGUAUUGGAACGGUGCCAGUGGGACGUGUUGAGACUGGUAUGAUCAAGCCUGGUAUGGUUGUUACCUUUGCUCCCACAGGGUUGACCACUGAGGUUAAGUCUGUUGAGAUGCACCACGAGUCUCUUCUUGAGGCACUUCCCGGUGACAAUGUUGGA
rnacentral:lncRNA from 1 species